rnacentral:lncRNA from 10 species
AUUAAACAUAAAAUUAGAAUUAUAACAAAAUAAUAUGUACCACUUAGGAGAUUUAGGCUAAAGUGACCCACCUGAGGAUACAAGAGAAAGUAUUACAUGAGGAAAUCGGCGCUGAGAAGGCUGGCCUCUGUCCACCCCUGUCUUUUUUUUUUUUUUUUUUUUUUUGAGAUGGGGUCUCUCUCUGUGCCAGGCUGGAGUGCAGUGGCGCAAUCUCGGCUCACUGCUGUUAUAUAUAAAGUUUCGGUGCUGCAAAAGAGAUAUCCUCCUAAUAUAAAAUGUUCUUUUUGAUUUUCAGCAAGGCAAGGUACUUCUAUGGAAGGGUGAGCCCUCACAGAUGGAGCAAUGGGGCGCGCACACCUGAACAAGGGAGGGGAAGGAGUUCUUAUCCCUGAUGCAUGUGACCCCUGCUGCUGUGUCCUUCCCCUAUUGGCUAAGGCUUCUGACAGCUUUGGAGAUUGUGACAUUGGAAUAAAGGAAAAACGUACAGGACUCAUGAAGCGCUGAAAUGUUCACAAAUAUCAAGCAAAAGUCAAUGAAAUUUAUUUUGAGCUAUUUACAUCAUUUAAUAAUUGAGCAAGGUAUACUCCUAUGAACAAAAUUUGGAGCAUGUUUGUCUCUCUCUGCCUGGCGUCUUCAGAAUUUGGAAACUAGUU